GAUGACACCACUGACCUUGCAUUAGCCUGGUGAGCAACUGACAGAUCCAAGAAGCCACAGCCUUCCCUUCUCCAUGGCCUCACAAUUCAGAAACUGAAACUCAGAUAUGUCAAAACUUCUGCUGACAUUGUCACCACCUGAAAUUGGCAGAGCCAAGAUAUAAUUCCAGCUUUCUUUAUGUUUUCCUAAAGCCACACUGCCUGUCAACUCUAAAUGAAGCAACAGGAAGCAAGUGGGAAGCUCAUGCUAAAACUACUAACAUGAAGACAGUUGGAGCAUUCUUACUCAUGAACCUCAAAUACUCUGGACUUAAAAAAGAUGAUAAACAAGCACUGAGGCUCCUAAUGACAUUAGUUGCAUAAGUCAAAUCAGUUGCUAAGAAAGGCCUUAUAAUGGCUGCCUCUGGAAGAGAAAGGUGGAAGGGACCCCAUGUGCAUAAGACAGGAAAUGAGAAGGGAGUGUGGCAGAAAGUGGAGAUGGAAAUGGAAGAAGUGAAUGGGGCCAGUCAAGUAGUCCUGGAAUGACACGUAUGGAUUUUGUUCUUAAGU